rnacentral:lncRNA from 1 species
UGAAACAGAGAGGAAAGAAAGAAAGAAAAAGAGAAGAAGAAGAAGAAGAAAGAAGAAGAGGAAGGGGAUUCGAGAGGGAAAGGGAUCCCGGUUGCACUUCCAGCUGAAGGGAAAAGUGUAGAUUUCCUUCUCCUCUACGCAAGGACCUCGAUUUCCAAAAAAGAAAAAGGUAAAUAUCCAUUUCUAUCUAGUCUUUUGAUGACAUUAGGCUAUACAAAGGGUGGAUGUAGUCUAGAGAGGUCAGAUAAGGAUUGUAGAGGUGGUUAAAAGAGGAAGAAUCGGAUUUCGACAAAUUUUUCCGGCAUUACGAAAAAACUGUGUCGAAGUCCCAACUUCGGUGAAUUAUUUAGGGGGUCAAACGGCCUCCGAUAAUGAUGCAUGUUACCUCUUUAGAAUCCCCUAUGAGUGUAGAAUGUUAGGUAAAAAUUUCAUCAAAUUUGGAGUCCCGAAAGUGGAUCAAAACCGGGAUGAAGUAACCCACUGUCAGUCCGGGUUACUGUUCAUCCGGGUGGAAAAUAAGGGAUUUCAUGCUAUAAUAGGGUAUUAAGCCUAGAUUAGGCUAAGGGAGACCUUGUACUCGUGCAAGGGAGUCCCUAAUACACAUAAAUGAUGAGUUAAUUAAUAGAAAAAGAAAAAGAGAAAGAAAAGAAAAAAUUUAGGGAACGGGGGAGUUGAAUCAAUUAAAGUUCCCUAUAUUAUAAUUGGCACGUAGAUUAUGGCCCUUGAUACAAGACUAAAUGUAUUGUAAAUGCAUGUCAUAGUUGGGCAAGAAGCUAGGGAACAAGAGGAAGAAG